AGAAUCAACGCUGGCGGCGUGCCUAACACAUGCAAGUCGAACGAGAAAGGGUAGCAAUACCUGAGUAAAGUGGCGUACGGGUGAGUAACACGUGACUAACCUACCCUGGAGUGGGGGAUAACUGAGGGAAACCUUAGCUAAUACCGCAUAACACCUACGGGUCAAAGGAGCAAUUCGCUUCAGGAGGGGGUCGCGGCCGAUUAGUUAGUUGGCGGGGUAAUGGCCCACCAAGACAGUGAUCGGUAUCC
rnacentral:rRNA from 1 species